GUUCGUACAUGUGUGUUGGCUAUGUUGGAUGUUGUGAGGUUUGAGUGUUAUUUUGGGUGUUUAAAAACAAAAACCUAUGUUGUGUUGGUGAUAAGGUUUUGCACCAUUUGUAUUCUGCAAUAAAUAAUGCAAAAGAAUUUUAUAGCACUUUCGGUUAUUUGAAUUUAAUUUAGGAUCACAUCAAACUAACAGUGCAUAUGACUUUCGAUUGGUAAUUUUAACCAAAGCUGUCUACAAUUAUUUAAAUAGUUUGGUUGAGUUUUGUCUUGAAUUGAUUUGAGCAAUUUAAAGUAAGUGAAUCAUAUUUUGAAAGAGUCAUCAUGACAAAUUUGAUUUUUAAAACAAAACCCCCAGUGUGUAAAAUAAGCAUGAUGAUGAGGCGGGUGAUGAUGAGUUUUACCUUCCCCAUCCUUAUACCCUACUCUCAUAUACUUACCUGCCACUUUACCUAUAUCUAAUGAGGGUGAGAAGUCGAACCCCAUCACUGUCUCCGACGGGUUUAGGUAUCCCCGCGUCAUCUCCGUUGUGGAUAAUUUUUUUUAAUGAAAAAAGUGUUUUUCUACUUCAGGCGCAAUGUUGUAAUACAUUAUCCUACAAAGAGAUGAUGACGAUCGAUAACUACGUUGAUGGAGAAGUGAGAGACCGAGAUUGAGAAGUGAGAAUCAUCUGAGAGACUAAGACUCUGACUAUGUGAGGAGAAUAAAGAGAACUCUGAGAAGUGAGUGUCAUCUGAGAGACUAAGUUUUGAUUGUGUGAGUGAAAUGAUUUAGGGUUUGAGUUUCUAUUUAUAUAAAAUGGAUAAUAAAUUGAUUUUCUACAUGUGGGGCGGGUUUGAGUGUGGGUUCGGGGUGAAUACAUAUAUCCUCGUUACCUAUCCAGUAUCCAUGUUUUGAAUCAUGGAAAAUUCAAACUCAUACCCAAAUCCAAUAAAAGCAGAGAAAAUCCGUCAAAUUAGAUUUGUUUCAAAUGGGUACCCGCAGAUAUGCAUUUUGUUGUCUUACCUCAAAAUCACUAUUUAGUAUAGAAAAGUUAACUUGUAACUAAUGUACAACUUAAAGUUAAGAAGUUAAAUGCAAAAUUAUAUUUAGAAAUUGCGCAUUUCUUAUCCUAAAGUUUCUUCUUUUUCAAGGGUAAUUCCUUGAGAGUUUAAAAACUAAAUUUUAAUUCAAUACAAAAAUUUUGUUUUGAUUUCAUUUUUAGAUCGUUAAUUUGUGUCCUUGGUAUACAAAUUAACCUAACUCAUUGAGUAUGUGUUUGUUUUUUCUUAAAAAGAGUAUGUGUUUAGCUGUAAAAUAACAUUAAACAUGAGUCGUCCAACCUGACACUCUAAUUAGUAGCUUCUGAACCUCAUGAUUAAAUGGUAACUCACAUUGGCUGUGAACUAACUCUAUCCCAAAUUGGUGCUUAAUACGCUAAUUUAGGGAUAUUUGUGGUGCAGUUUGAAUUAGUUUUGAUGCAAAUAGUCAUCAUAUUUAAAAUAAAAAUCGCAUGCGGAAAAUAUAGGGUAAAAUAUAACGUUUAAUGGAAAAUAUAGCAUGAAUAUAUAUUAAAAAAUAAUAUUACAGAAUAAAAAUUAUCAAUUAUAUUCUAAACAUAGGAAGAAGUAAUACUAUACAAUAAAUUAAUGCAAUAUAUAAAAAAAAAUAAAAAAUAAAACCGAGAAGCUAUAUAUUAAUGCAAUACACACACUAAUAAAAUAAUAAAUAAGUAUUAAAAUUUACAAAACAACAUCCAAAAAAAAUCAAUUUUUUUGUUGUUGUUUUUUUUGGAUUAGUGUACGGUUUUAUUUUGGAUGCGUUUGAAUUUGAAUAACCACAUGCCUACUAGGCUAACUGUGUAUAUUAUUUAGGAAAUGUCAUAAAAGGUACUCCCUCAAUCUUAAAUAAUUAUCAUUAUUUAACUUUCAUCCAUAUCAAUGUACAAUUUUAACUAUUAAUAUUCUUAGUUAUUUAUUAAUAAAAGUUGUAAAAAAUUGAUAUUUUAAAAAUAUUCGUUGAGAUAAAUUGAACAAUAUUUUAUUUACUAACAUUUUAUUUACAAAUAUGAUCAAAGUAGAUUAUGUGAAUCGUACGUAUGGUCAAACUAUGACAAUAAUUUUGAAAUAGAUGGAGUAAUUUUGAAAAUAGAAAAGAGAAAUGUUAGCUAGUGCCUUCCGGUGCACUAGCUAUAUGAAAAACGUGUGGAGUAAUUUUGAAACCAAUAUAGAAAAUUGUGUUGAGAAGUAUGAAAAAGUUGUACGUUCAACUUUUUAAAAGUCAAAAAUUUAUUAUUUUUAUAAAAAAAAAAAUCUACUUCUAAUUUUUUUAACUAAUGCUCCAUAAUCAAUAGUUAGCAUGACUGGAUAAAAAAUGACAUAUCAUAUCAUACUAACAAAUGUUCUAAAGUUACAUUGUUAUGGACAUUUGUUAGCAUUUUUUACUUUUAUUAAAAAAAUAGGCAUUUCACACGGUUACUUUUGGCUUUAUCACAUUUUGCGUUCACAUAUCUUUGUAAAUAAAUAUGCCUUAUAUUGAUCAGGAGUAAAUUGGAACACAACUAGCAUCUCUCCAUUUCUCUCUAUCAUCAUGUGUAUAUCACAAUUUUUUGAAGAAGUUAAAGAAAUCAUGUUAAAAAUCAAAUAAAGCUCCUUUAACAUAUGGUGCGUCAAAGCAACCUAAUAAUCCAAACAGCUCACAUUACAACAUGUCGUAACAACCCAACAAAAAAUUAGAAAACUAUCUUUAAGCAAAACAAAGGAUUUUGCCUCGAAAACACGUGAUAUAAUUUUAACCACCAAUAAAUUUGUAGUUUAAUUUUUUCACUCAGAGAUUGAAGUUGAUUACUCUUCUGUUGAAAGAUCCUAACAUUUCUUUCUUUGAAAUGACGCAAAGCACUGAAAAGUCGAAAGAAGUUCUCCUUGGCGAAUCCCUUUUUUCAACUUAAACUCAUUAGUAAGGCUACCAUUCACAAGUACCGAAGUCGUUGCUGUUGAGACACAUUCUAAAAUCCAUUGACUCCAGCGCUAAGGGUAAUUCAGUUUGGUCAUCAAAUCUCCCAAAUACCUCCAAUGAACUGAGUCAUAGGUUUUUUUGAAAUCAACCUUAAAAAGAAUAAGUUCUUUCUUAGAUUUACACGCAUCACCCUUUAACUCAUUGGCUAUCAGAAUUGCAUCUAAAAUUUGUCUACCUUUUACAAAAGCAAACUAAGAUUCUGAAACACCAUUACUAACCACCUUCCUCAAUCUAUUAGCAAGAACUUUUGACAAAAUUUUAUACACCCUCCGUCCCUUAAUGUAGGCACCUAUUGCCUUUUCACAUUUCUUAAGAAAUGUUGUCAGUGUAAUUAAUGUGUUUGUUUUGUGUGUUAAUAAUUAUCCUUGGUUUGUAUGUAUUAAAUUUGACUUUUCAUAUUUCAAGACAAGUUAGUAGUAUUAAUUAGGGAUAUGUUUAGGAAAAAAUUAAUAAACGCAUCUAGUAAUUUGAAAUGGAAUUUAAAUUUAGAGAAAAAAAUAAAAUCAAACGGAAACUUAGAUAUAAGGACGGGGGAGUAUAAGCUACCAACCAAAGAAAUAGGUUGAAAAUAUGCCAACUUCUAAAGACUCUUAGCUUUGGGAAUCGAAGUAAUAAAAGUAUUUAUGUCCUUUGUUAACUUACCAUUGUGAUGAAACUCAACAAACAAAUUCUUUGAUAAAACCAAUAUUAAUCUCAUCUUGCUCAGGACUCUUAUAACUAUCACAAUCUCACACUCAUGCCUCUAUCUCUUCCAACAAAAAAGGUAUAAUAAGAUCAGCCACAUCCUUCAUACUAAUAGUUUUAAAAGAAAGAUCCCCUAACCCAGGUCUGGACUCCAUUGCAACUUUAAAAUUAGAUUGAAAAUGUUGAAAAGCCACACUCCUCGCCCCUUCCACACCCUUAAUCUGAACACCUUUAACAUUAAUAGAAAUAAUCACAGUUGACCCGUCUCCUAGAAGACACCACCCCAUGGAAAAAAAAAAAAAAAACGAAUUAGCACCACCCUUCUUUAACCAAGUCGAUCUAGAUUUUUGCCACUGAAUACUAAAAUGUAAUUUAUAUAAAGCCACAACAUCUGCUAAUAGAAAUCAAAGAGAGAAAUCAACAUAUCAAACAAAACGAAACCGAAGAACCAAUGCAAAUUGAACUAAAUAACCAACCUAAAUCAAACCACCAUUAAUCAAAUCAUCCUUAUCAAAUCCACCAAUCAAUCACAAUACUAACAAUUCCAUCGUGUGAAGAACAAUGAAUUCAAAUGGAGAAAAACUAAUGGAUAUCAAAAUAAAUCCAUAGAGAACAACCGUGACAAUUGCUUAACAAAUAGUAAUUCAACUAAAAAGAAAAGUCCUAAUCCAACAAAAACCAACACAUUAAUAUCCAAGUGCCAUCAGGACUCAACUGAAUCUUUGAAUCAAAAAAAUAAUAGAUAGCUAAAACAAUAAAUCUUAUAGUUUACAAACAAAUCAAAAUGCAAAACAGAUUCCUAAUUUUUUUUUUUUUUUUUUUGAAAAAUUAACAACGGAAUAGCCGUGAAUCAUAUAAGGAGGGUCAAAACAUGCUCUUGAUACCAUGUUAACAAUAUUAGGUUUAGAGCUCUUAUACAUGGAGCAUCGUAGGUGACAUACAAACUUUCACGGUGUGAUGUGAAAUUACUAAAAUACCCCUGUCACAUGGGGGUAUACAUGAGAGGUACAUAAAAAAGGAUGUCUAUCUAUCUUUUUUCAUAGAUUUAAUAAAAAAGGGAGAAUAACACAAAACAACUAGAAUUUUAUAAAAUGUAGAUGACUUAACAUUACAAAAGGUUAACAUAAACCUAAUGGAUUACUAACUUAAUAAUAGUUUAAGUUAAAAACUUUAUUAUCUAACCAAUUUUAUCUACUUCCAAUAUAUCACCUACGAAUUUUCUAUUUUUGAAUCCCGUCUACACUCUGAGUCAUGGAAUACUGCGAGACUAUUUCAUAUUGAUUUUCGUAACCCAAUUCAAGAUAACACAAAGAGGGUUGACCCAAUCACAAUCACCAAUAAAUAAAUGAGCUUUUGUCAAAAAAAGACGACCUGAUCAAUGAGCUAUUUUUCAACAAAAUAAAGUGAGAUUUACGAACAAGCCACAAGGUAUGUCCUACCAAAGUUCUAUAAAUACCAUUCCUCACCAUCUCAUAAACCCACAUCACAAGCGAAAUUAGUUGUAUUCAUAUUAUACAUUUCUCUUUUCAUUUUCUUCUUGUAUAUUGAUCCUUUUUAACUAUCUUGAUAUAUAUCAUGGGUGUUUUUACUUUCAACGAUGAACAUGUCUCAACCGUGGCUCCAGCUAAACUCUACAAAGCUCUUGCAAAAGAUGCUGAUGAAAUAGUCCCAAAGGUGAUUUCUGCUGCCCAAAGUGUUGAAAUUGUUGAAGGAAAUGGUGGACCUGGCACCAUCAAAAAGUUAUCCAUGUCUGAAGGUAAUUCAUUAAGAGCAUUUACUAUAUCCCUGUCAAAAAAAUACAACUUUAUUAAUUAGUAAUUCAAUAGACAUGUUAAGAAAUCAUAUACUCACUUUUAUUUUUGAAUUAGAUUUUGAGUGUUGAAGGAGACCAAUGAUAAUACAUAAACUGAGUCUAUAUAUAAAUAAUAAGCUUCAAGAAACAACUAAUUUCCAUGGAAAAAGAAUAUAUAAGAUACUUCAUGCAAGAUUCAAGAGAACCACUAAACUGGAGACAGGGCCGGCCUAAGGACCAAACAACCUAAACAAGGGUUUUAGGCUUCAAAACUUUUGGUAAAAAAAAAGGUCUUUAAAAAAUUAAUUUGGUCAUAAGUAUAUUAUAUGACAGAUAAAUUACAGACAUUUGAAUAGCUUAACUGAUCAAAAAGGUUUUAAUUACUCAUGGUCAUGAAUUCAAAUUUUGGUCUCCACGCAAUUGCUUUUAUAUAAAUAUUCUAUUAAAAAAAUAAUUUCAAAGGCCACAUUAAAUUUUUUGAUUUAAGCCUCUUAAUCUGUUGGGUCGGCCAUGGCAGGAGAUCCAACUAUUUGUAUAAACUACAGUCGUUGAAAUGUAACUAUUGUGAGAGUGUUGCUUGUUUUCAUUAUAUAUAGUAGUUAUAUAUUCAAAUGAAAUGAAUGAUCAAAUUAACACUAAAAUUUAGUUAAAAUCAUUUCAAAUAUCAAUAUAUUAUUGUCAAGAUUAAAUUAUGUAAUUUUAUAUGAUUUCAACCUAAUGGUAAAGAGUGGUUAUAAUAUAUCCAGAUUAAUUGUAAAUAGACUCGUAUUCAAUAAUUAUAGUAAUUAAGAUCAACUUUUUAAUCAGCCCAAUAAAAUGUGUGGUCUACAACUAUAAGAUUCACACAAUAUUAUAGUAAAAUAGACUUAACAAUCAAGUGAUUAAAUAUAUCCAGUUACAUUAGAAUUGAUCUAUGACAAAAACAAUUUUUAGUCGAACUUUACUUUCAUUUUGAGGGAACCAACUUAUAUAAAUUAUGAUGGUUGUAUUGUAGGUGGCAAAACCGACUAUGUGCUACACAAAUUAGAAGCAAUGGAUGAAGCAAACUUGGGAUACAACUAUAGCAUUGUAGGAGGAACAGGGUUGGAUGAAAGUUUAGAAAAAGUUGAAUUCGAGACAAGUAUUGUGGCUGGCUCUGAUGGUGGAUCCAUUGUUAAGAUUUCAGUGAAAUACCACACCAAAGGUGAUGCAACUCUAUCUGAUGCAGUGCGUGAUGAAACUAAGACCAAAGGAACUGGACUUAUCAAGGCCAUUGAGGGAUACGUUUUGGCAAACCCUAAUUAUUAAGUAAAAUGUAUACUUGGUUGUGUUGUGUCAUACCAAUAAUAAUUGAAGUUUAUGAUAUGGUUGUUUGAUUUAUACAUCACGAUUUCUAGCUUAUACAUGUGUGUGGGCUUUGUUGUUUAAUUACAAAAAUCUAUGUGUUGAUGUUGAGGUUUUGUACCAUCUAUAAUUCUGUAAUAAAUAAUGAAGAAUUUUCUAGCACUUUUCAUUCGGUAUUUUAACUUUAUAUGCCUUGACCAUUAUUGGUACACCAAUUUCCUUUCCUCUUGUUAUCCUUUUUUUUUCUUUCUUUGGAUUUAUUUUUGACUUGUAACACAUAAAAACUCAACUCAUCACUAGCAUGCUUUGAAUUUUACUAUGGCUGAGAAAAAGUAAAAACAUAAUGUGAGUAUGAUAGAGAAAGUUGUCAUAUAAUGGUUAUAUAAAUAUUAUUUCUCUAUCAUAAAUGUAAAGUGGAAGAUAUUGAAUUGAGAGUGAUGAAAUUUGUAUGGGUCUUGUUAACGAGUGCCCCCGAGGGCACUCUUUAAGCAUACUAAAUUAGAAAAUUAUUCUUUAAAAAAUUCAAAUAAUUCAAUUUCCAAUGCAUUGAAUACAUAACUUUUCAUAAAAAGUUACUAUUUAAGACCCUUAAAGAGUGUCCCCAGGGCACUAGUUAACAUUUCUGAAUUAUAGUAUUAAUUAAGAUGUAUAAUUGAAAAAAGAUAGUUAAUUAAUAUUAUAUUAAAAAGUGAAAUUGAUCAUUCAUUUUAGAUCUUUCUUCUUUUUUACAAAUAAAUUACUUAUUGUGGAACAUGAGGAGUAUCAUUUAUGCUCAAACUAAUCAUGCAAACUCUAAUAUAUAUAAACAAUUAUAAAUCAAAUAGACUUCAAUUUGAUAUUCCUUGCACUCGAAUAAUUUGGUAAGAGACAAAUUAAAUAAAGGAAUUUAAGUUUUUAUAAAUAAUCAACAUGUUAUAAGAUACAAUUGUUUGAAAAAGAAGAAUGGUGGUUUGCGGGUUAGGGUCUCUUAGUUAAUCAUCUAUUUCUGUUUCAUGUUUUUUUUUUUAAUAAUUUAUUUCUGUUUCAUGUUAUUUACCAACUUUAUAUUAGUUUUUUUGUAACUUUUUUAGUACAACUUGUGCUGAAAAGAUUUUGGUUAAUGAUAUUCUAUUUUGACAUGCUAAAAAAAAUGAUGAAUGUGAACCCGUUAAAUAAGUAAACGAUAUAGUACAUAGGUUGCAUAUUUUUAAACUUUGCCGUCUUUGAAUUGAAUUCUUGAUGCUUUUGUCCAAGUCAAAUUUCGAUUUUUAAUUCCUUUGCCCAUCUCUUCAUCGGCCAAAACUUCUGAGCUAAUAAGUCAUUGAUCUAUAUCUAUAUAUCUAUCUAAAGAAAAGUCAUUGAGUUGAAAAUAUCAUUUUGAAGAUAUGCUCUACAAUUUAUGGUUUUGAAAAAUAAUACACGCUCUCUAAUAUGGACAGCUUUGUUUUACACACUUAUUAAUCCUACUUAUUAAAGGUGCUACUAGCUAGUAACAGAUGGGAAACUUUUUGUUUCAAGUUUACCAAAUUUAUUUUUGGUGAUAACAUUUCUUGGAACAUAAAGAUGAGAAUUUUAUUCUAAAAUAUUUAGAAAAAAGAUGUUUGCUUAACAUUAUAGUAUUCUCAGAAACCAUAAAAAUAAGGAUUAUAAUAGAUAAUUACACAUGAAUCUAUUCCCAUGUUCAUGGGAACUUUAUUCCCACUAGUUUCUGUGAGAAAUUUUUUCCAUUCCCAUAAACAUUUUAUACCUGCGAAUAAAAUUUAAUAAAUUUGUAACAAACAUAGACAUGCAUAUGUCUAUUGUUUUAUUCCCAAAAAUCUACAUAGAUAACUUGAAAUAAACGUACCCUUAAAUUUAAUUAUUUACUGAAAAGAAAAAUGUGAUAAGGAAUCUGUUUCUACACCUCCAGGAAACACUAUCUCUUUUUCUUUUACGGAUCAAAGCUACAUUAUUUAGUUCCGUAAAUACAAUUUGAAUGGUAAAAAAUUUAAAGAUAUUUGAUUAAUUGGAGUGCGAGUUUGAAUAUAUAAUUCUUCACUUUAAAUGUUUUAAAGUAGAAUUGAUUUUUUUUGUAAAAUUAAUUCUACUCAAAGCUAAAUGUCGAGGCACGAAUAUUGUUCAAUUCACUUUUACUUAAAUAUAAUAAAACAUAUAUUAUUUUACAUUUAAUCAGAAUUAACUGUACAAAAUUAAUUCAUUUAGAAUCAAAUUUUUGUUGUGUAGCAUAAACAAACACACACUAAAUUACGUAGUUUGAUUUCUUUAUUAAAAAAAAGAAAGAGUAAAAUGAUUUCAUAUUUUGUCUUCAUUCCCAUUAGUUUGUUAUUGUCUUUGUAAUAAAAAAAUUAAAAAAAAUAUUUUUUUUCACUACGUAAAAACUUCACGUAGAUCUUUUUAUCAUUAAUUAAUUCGUGCGUGGUUAUGUACGACUGAGUCUCCUUAUUUUAGGAUAACGACUUCAAAUCUUUCAUACAUCAAUCUUCACCAAACUUUAACGGUGUGUUUGGAUGUAAGAUGAAAAUGAAAAGUGAUAAACAGAUGAGAAAGAGUGUGAGAAGAGAGAAAGCGAUAAGCAAUACAAUAGAUUUGUAGCAUUGAUUAGUAUAAAAAUGAGAAGAGAAAUAUAAAAAAAAAAAACAGAUAUUUUAUUCUUUGAAAAAGACAAAAACAACCUCCAUUAAAAAUAAAAUAGUAAAAUAUCGCUACUAUAUUAUGCUAUCUAAAGUUUGUCAUAAAAAUUAUCCUAUAUUAUAAUUUAUUAGUAUAAUAAUAAAUCUCAUGAAAUAAAGUGAAAAAUUAUUUACUUUUUCAUUGUGCUGUAAAAAAGUACUCCAUGUUAAUCAAUGUAUAAAGCAUUUAAAAGAAAGGGGCAUAAUUGGAAAUAUGCAAUAAAUAGGUUGCUCUAUUGGACUUUCAGGAUUGAAAAAACUGUCGGUACCAAAAAUUAAUUCGAACUUGAAUUAUUUCUUUUAACGCAACUUUAGAUGGCUCCUUGUGACUUUAAUUAAUAAUAUCAAACAUUUAUCUUGUAAAACAAGGUAGGACCUACCAAUAUGUCACUUAGUCAUGGAUUUCUAGACUAAUUCACAUUUUUAGAAUCGAAUUCAAGAUUGUCGACAUCACAAAGAGAAUUGACCCAAUAAAUAAAUAUCAAAAUACUUGAGCUAAAUAAAUAAGUGAGAUUUUGCAAACAAGGUAGGUCCUACCAAAGUUCUAUAAAUAGUAACCCUCAAUGUGUUAUAAACCGCAUCACAAACUAAAAUAGUAGCAUUAUUCAUAUUAUACAUUAAUUUCUCCUUUCAUUUACUUAUUGCAUAUUGAUCCUUUUUAUCUUGAUAUAUAUCAUGGGUUCUUUUGUUUUCAUUGAUGAACAUGUCUCAACUGUGGCUCCAGCUAAACUUUACAAAGCACUUGCAAAAGAUGCUGAUGAAAUCAUCCCAAAGGUGAUUCCAGCUGCUCAGAGUGUUGAAAUUGUUGAAGGAAAUGGAGGACCUGGCACCAUUAAGAAGUUAUCCAUGUCUGAAGGUAAUUGAUUAAGAUUAUAUAACAUUUACACAGUUGAAUUUUUGGGACUAGAGUUGAUUGUUGGUAUAUUGAAAUGAGAUUCAACAAUCAAGUAAUUAACGAUAUCCAGUUACGUUCAGAUUGAUCAAUGACUUAAACAAUUUUUAGUCAAACUUUAUUUAAAUUUGAGGGAACAAAACUUAUAUAAAUUAUGAUGGUUUAAUUGUAGGUGGUAAAACCGACUUUGUGCUACACAAAUUAGAAGCAAUGGAUGAGGCAAACUUGGGAUACAACUAUAGCAUAGUAGGAGGAACAGGAUUGGAUGAAAGUUUAGAGAAAGUUGAAUUUGAGACAAAUAUUGUGGCUGGAUCUGAUGGUGGAUCCAUUGUUAAGAUUUCAGUGAAAUAUCACACCAAAGGUGAUGCAGUUCUAUCUGAAGCUGUACGUGAGGAAACUAAGGCCAAAGGAACUGGACUUAUCAAGGCCAUUGAGGGUUAUGUUUUGGCAAACCCUAAUUACUAGCAAAUUAAACAUUUGCUUUAAUAAUAAUUAAAGACUAUGAUAUGGUUGAAUGUGUGUUGGAUAUUUUGAGGUUUGAGUGUUGUUUUGAGUGUUUAAAAACAAAAACCAAUGUUGUGUUGGUGAUGAGGUUUUGCACCAUCUGUAUUAUGUAAUAAAUAAUGCAAAAGAAUUUUCUAGCACUUUCCGUUAUUUUUUUAGAGGAAUAGCACUUUACAUCAUUUUAAUUUAAUUUAGGAUAACAUCAAACUAAUAGUGCAUGUGGUUUUCAAUUGGU
rnacentral:lncRNA from 1 species